GAACGAGGUCCAUUCUUUGGGAGAAGACCUAGUGGCGAACGGGUGAGUAACACGUGAGCAACCUGCCCCGAAGACUGGGAUAACAGCGGGAAACCGCUGCUAAUACCGGAUAUCCCCACCGGAUCGCAUGAUCUGGUGAGGAAAUGGAUUCCGCUUCGGGAGGGGCUCGCGGCCUAUCAGCUUGUUGGUGGGGUAACGGCCCACCAAGGCAACGACGGGUAGCUGGUCUGAGAGGACGAUCAGCCACACUGGGACUGAGACACGGCCCAGACUCCUACGGGAGGCAGCAGUGGGGAAUCUUGCGCAAUGGGCGAAAGCCUGACGCAGCAACGCCGCGUGAGGGAUGACGGCCUUCGGGUUGUAACCUCUUUCGAGCAGGGACGAUUGUGACGGUACCUGCAGAAGAAGCUCCGGCCAACUACGUGCCAGCAGCCGCGGUAAU
rnacentral:rRNA from 1 species